CUUAUUGACACGAUGCUGGAGCACAGAGCACAAGGAGAGCGCCGCCUGCUGGAGCAUGUCGCCCCCUGGUGGAGAGGAGAGGUGGAGUUCACCAGAGAGGAGACGAGGCUCCAGCAGCUGGGCAGUGGGUCAGGAGGAACUGGUUUUACUGGUUUAACUGGAUAAUGAUAGCAGAAAUGAUCAGCUGCUGUAUUCUCAACUGGACUCUUCAUCCUGGACUGCAGAUUUCUAGCAAAUGAAUCAUUGACGGUUGUCCUUCCUGAUUUAAGAACCAUUGUGACCAGAGGAAACGUGACUCAGAGACGUGCCGACAUCUUCCUCAAACUUUCAGUUCUGGCUUCUUGAAUUCACCUAACAGUGGGAAUCAUUUUGUCUUCUGAUCCGUUUCUCCUGAUCAGAUGCUUCUUUUUCUCAAAUCUGAACAUAAAAUAAAUGUAACAUUUAGUUUUUGCAAAC